GAUGAAGAACGUAGCGAAAUGCGAUACGUAAUGUGAAUUGCAGAAUUCAGUGAAUCAUCGAAUCUUUGAACGCACAUUGCGGCCAUAGGUAUUCCUUUGGCCAUGCCUGUUCGAGCGUCAUUUACACCCUCAAGCCUAGCUUGGUGUUGGGCGUCUGUCCCGCCGUUCUCGCGCGCGGACUCGCCUCAAAGUCAUUGGCGGCGGUCGUGCCGGCCCCCUCGCGCAGCACAUUUGCGCUUCUCGGAGGCCCGGCGGAUCCGCGCUCCAGCAAGACCUUUCACGACUUGACCUCGGAUCAGGUAGGGAUACCCGCUGAACUUAAGCAUAUCAAUAAGCGGAGGA
rnacentral:misc_RNA from 1 species